rnacentral:rRNA from 1 species
GACGAAGGAUGCAAGCGUUAUCCGGAUUCAUUGGGUUUAAAGGGAGCGUAGGCGGCCUUAUAAGUCAGUGGUGAAAUCUCCUCGCUUAACGAGGAAAUUGCCAUUGAUACUGUAGGGCUUGAGUACAGUUGCCGUUGGCGGAAUAUGACAUGUAGUGGUGAAAUACAUAGAGAUGUCAUAGAACACCGAUUGCGAAGGCAGCUAACGAAGCUGUAACUGACGCUGAGGCUCGAAAGUGCGGGGAUCAAAACAGG